rnacentral:rRNA from 1 species
GAUGAACGCUGGCGGCGUGCUUAACACAUGCAAGUCGAACGAUGAAGCCCAGCUUGCUGAGUGGCUUAGUGGCGAACGGGUGAGUAACACGUGAGUAACCUGCCCUUAACUCUGGGAUAAGCCUGGGAAACUGGGUCUAAUACCGGAUAGGAGCGUCCACCGCAUGGUGGGUGUUGGAAAGAUUUAUCGGUUUUGGAUGGACUCGCGGCCUAUCAGCUUGUUGGUGAGGUAAUGGCUCACCAAGGCGACGACGGGUAGCCGGCCUGAGAGGGGGACCGGCCACACUGGGACUGAGACACGGCCCAGACUCCUACGGGAGGCAGCAGUGGGGGAUAGUGCACAAUGGGCGCAAGCCUGAUGCAGCGACGCCGCGUGGGGGAUGACGGCCUUCGGGUUGUAAACCUCUUUCAGUAGGGAAGAAGCGAAAGUGACGGUACCUGCAGAAGAAGCACCGGCUAACUACGUG